CUUCUUGCCUCUUCUCUUUUUUGAGCCUUUUCUUUUUUCUUUCUUCGUGUCCAGACAAAUUUUCUUUUUGCCACUCCUAUAAACACAAAAGUCCAAGACUGACUGACUGAGUGAUAAAGUGUUGCCUGUAUCCGUCUCAAAUAGCCCUCAUUUCAAAUAGCUUCAUAUUAAAAGCCCUCCAGCAUUUCAUACAUGGUCCAGCCAUGCAGGUCUGAGGUCAUGGCAACAUUCCAGAUUUUGGCGAGAGUCUCUGUAUUUUUAACCAUUUCUCCCGCUGUGCUCCUGAUUGGUAAUUACUCCUGUUAACCUGCUGAUUUCAUAUUUUUUUCCCUAAAUGUAUGUGUUUCUGACACUGUACAGCGUGUGUGCGCAGCUGCUCUCUGUGAAUCCUGAAAAUGCCAUCACAUUCAUUCAAAUUCAUCACAUCUUAUGUACCCAAAAUCGGCGUAUCUCACAGUCAAACCAGAAACACAAUAGAAAAUUUCUUAAAAUACUUUCAGACACUUAAAAUACUAUAGACACUUUCAGUAUAUACUAGUGAUGUCACCAUAUUACAAUUACCUCUGAAGUUCCACUACUGUCAAUACCCACUUUCAUACCAUGCCAAAACAAGAAAUCCCAUUCAGGACAAACUCCUUUAUUUAAAAACUUUUUUUAUAAACAUUAACAAUUGAACAGAAACUUUGUGUGUUUCAUUAUUUAACUAUACAGUCUGCAUUAGAAUAAGAGUUACAAAUUAAAUAUUGGCCUGUAGCCUUCAAGUAGAAAGCAAAGCAGCCCAAAAACAGUAAUUUCAAAUUAGAGGAACUGUAUGAAAUGUGAUGCUGUAACAACAAAUACAGCUGUGUGAUUAUGUGCCCUCAUUUUGGUUUGCAAUCUUGUAGGUAUGACUGAAACUUUAAGUGUUUCAGCAUUUAAACACACACACUGGCUAUAUUAGAAUAAUAACUGAGUUCAGUAUCAUUUUAUAAAUACUGGUAUUGAUUUGGUAUCUAUGUGUCUAUGGUAUCCAUUAAUUGAUUCUUGUGACAUCCCUAAUUAUAUCCACUCUGUAAUGUGAUUAUCAAGUUGUUCUUCACUUCUUAUCAAUGUAAGUUCUUUGUAACAGGUAGACUAGCGUGGCCAUGCUGGCCUGUACCAUCUGACCAGUUACACCAUCAUGGCCAUGCUGGUCUGCCAUCAACUGACCAGUUACACCAGCACUACCAACCUGGCUGCUCACCUCUCAACCAGCUACACAAAACUGCUGUACCGGCUGAUCACCAGUUACACCAGCUUAAACAAGCUGGCCCACCAGGUAAAUCCAGCAAGACCAGCUAAUGACCAGCUAAGGUUUGAAGCUGGUACUAGCUGGAUUUCACAGUAGGGAUGCUAGCGUUAGCUAACAGACGGAGCAGUAUGCUGCAGUGUUUUCCCCGAGACAACUUCAACGGCAAGUAAACACUAAUGUCAUGUAUAAGAUAUUGUUUGUGGCUAACAUUAUUACAAUGGAUGUGCGCAAUCUCAUCUAUGUUUUAUUGCUGGGGUUUGCCAGCAUUAGCGUCUAACGUAGGCCUGUUUGUGUAAACAGAUGUAGCUUAUCUGAUGCCACUUAAUAUGGGUCAGCAGGGAACAAACACGUUAUUAUCAACAGGCUGUUCAGAUCUGUUUGUUAGUGACACCAUAGACUGUAUGUUAAUGACAGCAGCCUGCAUGAUAAACUAUAUUUUCAGUUAGCAACCUGCACCAGACUGCAUGCUAUGUCAGUCACAGUCAGCCAACACAUCAGGUGAAUGAUAGCAGGUAAUAUGACAGUAAAGUUAUAUUUGUGGGUGAUCAGUAAAACUUACACCAGUAAGUUUUGUUAUGGUGGUUGUAUAAAUUUCUGUGUCGUAUUUAGAGUGAGCUGUCAUCUGAUCAUCUACUGAACAGAUUCCUCCAUCUGCCACAGUGAGAGCCACCAGUAUCUAACCCAGUAGCACCCACAAGGACGUGCCCACAGUCCAAAGCCUGAUCCGGGCUCUUUCACUUCCCACUGGUGACGCUACACCAAACAACUCUGUACCUGCUGAGAUGACACCUCUCCCACGACAAAACACGUCAACAGUAGAUAUGCAUCAACAACAGUCCAACAAAGGAUGUGUGUCCUGUCAAAACUUUGAACUCUACAGUGUCCCACAAUAUAGAAAUACCAACUGAGUCACUGAAAGAGAAACUGGAUUUUCAUAUAUUAAGGAUUUUGGCAUGCAUAAUUUCACUUAUAAAAGUUCACCAAUUCUGGUUUUGCUGUAACAAUCAGGUAUUUAACAUUAUGUUCCACUACGACACUGUCUGUAACCUGUAUAGUACAUUUCCAGCCAGCUAAGAUGAUUAUUGUUUACUGACAUCAGACAUCUUGUUAAAUUACAAUAUAAUGUCACUUUAAAUCAUCAUCUAUCAAUAAUGUUGUGGAGCACAUACUUUAUUCUCUAUACAAACUCUACUACACGUUGACUUUUAUGUUGCUUUAUCAUUUAUUGAGAUCUCAUGCAUGUACUGUAACUCCAUAUAAUAAGUUUUCAGUGAUUAAUUAGUCAGUUCCUGAAAAAAACAUACACAUGGUUGGUUUAAACAGUUUGAAAUUUGCUGGUGUUAGCUUAGUUAUUUUCAUAACUCAGAAACCCUUAAGAAGGUGAGAUGUGUUGAAAUAUUAUCUACAGGAUGUAAAAAUUAAAACACUGAAUCACUGUUAUGAGUGCACUCUUCUCUCCUUUGUUUAUAACUUAGACCUUAGAAACACACACAAAGCCACUUUGGUCUAAAAAAGUGACAGAUCUCAGUUGUGAAUGCUAAAGAUACUAUUUGCAUUUCAAGGCCCACAUUGUAGUCUACAUCAUAGCAGAAUCAAGGCUGAUGCCCUCCACAUGUAUAUCGAAUCGUUGGCUGUCCACCGCCCUUGAAGGUAGUUCACAGUGGUUUCUCACAGAUGUCAGGGAGCCGCUUCAGGCUCUGGUUUUGCAGGAUGUACAAAUGUAGGCUGCAGUCAAUGGGCUUCAUUCACAAACAGUGUGUAUUAGAGAUGCACUGAUUUUCUUGGCUGAUUCUGAAUUCCAAUUUUUCAAAUGUCUGACCUGCCAAUUCCGAUUUUUACCGAUUCUGAUUUUCUUUCUUUAUAA